AUUGAACGCUGGCGGCAUGCUUUACACAUGCAAGUCGAACGGCAGCGCGGGCUUCGGCCUGGCGGCGAGUGGCGAACGGGUGAGUAAUGCAUCGGAACGUGCCCAGUAGUGGGGGAUAGCCCGGCGAAAGCCGGAUUAAUACCGCAUACGACCUGAGGGUGAAAGCGGGGGGCCGAAAGGCCUCGCGCUAUUGGAGCGGCCGAUGUCGGAUUAGCUAGUUGGUGGGGUAAAGGCUUACCAAGGCGACGAUCCGUAGCUGGUCUGAGAGGACGACCAGCCACACUGGGACUGAGACACGGCCCAGACUCCUACGGGAGGCAGCAGUGGGGAAUUUUGGACCAUGGGGGCAACCCUGAUCCAGCCAUGCCGCGUGCGCGAAGAAGGCCUUCGGGUUGUAAACCGCUUUUGUUCGGGAAGAAAUCCUCUGGGCUAAUACCCCGGGGAGAUGACGGUACCGGAAGAAUAAGCACCGGCUAACUACGUG
rnacentral:rRNA from 1 species